UCACCAAGGGCACCACCAACAACAUCUGCGUACUGCGCACGGUCAGCGUGGGCCUGACGCUGCUGCGCGUGUGGGACCCCGAGCACCCCGGCCUCUCCGACUACGUGCCGCUGCCCGUCCUGCCGGCCAUCGCUCCAGAGCUGCCCGGCACCGUGGUGGUCGGGGAUGUCCUCUGCCUGGCCACUGCGCUCAUGGGCCCCAAGGGUGAGAGUUCCAACCAGGGCGGUCUCGGGGUCACCGUGCCUGCCAGGGUGGGAGGGGGACCCUGGGGUGCCCUGAAGGGGUCAGGAAGGCCACCAGAGGGCCACAUAGGCCAUGUUGGCUUUGGAGAUGUACCUGCCUGGUAGCAGGGCCACUCCCUAGUGGGCGCCUGGGGAGGGUGGCCCUGGGGACAGUUCCCCUGGUGACGGCACCCCUGGGGACGGUCUGCUGGGCAGCCACAGUCCAUAGAGCAGGUGUGCCAGAAGGGGCCACCAGGACGUGGCCACGGAGGCGGGCAGGGAGGCUGAACCACAAGGCCCCUCGUGGGCAGGGGUCAGGAAGAGGUCAUGGGCGGCCGGUCCUCUGUGGGGGGGGGGACGGGUGACAUGGGGCCUCUCCUCCCAGGUGCCCCAGGAACCUGGAGCUCUUCAGCCGACAGCAUCCUCCAGGUCGACCCCAAGACGGUGAUGGCCGUGGCCCGGGACGCGGGGUCCGUGACGGUGCACUACGAGGUCCCCGGGCACCUGAGGACCUAAAAGGAGGUAGGGCAGUGGGCGCCGGGCCUGGCCCACCCUCCGCGGGCAGCGGCGCCCUGGCCUAUGGCUGGGAACGCCUGUCCUUUAAACCAGUACCGUGUGUCCAGGGGUCGGCCAGGACCUGGGUCCCCAAACCUGCAGGUGCUCAGUCAGGUCCCUCACGUGCUACGGCACAGUGUGACCUGUGGCCUGUGCAGCCCUGUGUCCACUCUGAGUCGUCCCCGGGUGGCUGGUGACAGCAGGGAAGCACUGUGUGCCCUGUGACCAUGCUGUGCUGUUCAGGGGGGACAAGACCCCCGGGCCUCCUCCCCAGAGGCCGCUCCUCUCAGGGGAAUCUUAGAAAGACACGCAGGCCACCGAGGCCGCCUGAGUCACCGAGGCCACCUGAGCUGCCUGAGGCCACUGAGGCCACCUGAGGCCACCAAGGGAAGCUCAAUGAUGUGACGUCACCAACAGAGUGAAGCCACAAGGUCACCUUCAGAGCCUUCUAGAGGCAGCAACCCUUUGGCUCCGUGUUUCUGUCCGGCUGAGGACAGGUCAGCGUGGACCCCGGUGGCACAUUAGUGCCAUGCCUGGGUGGCCAAGGACUGGGCGUGUCCUGCCUCCUGGAAGGGCCCAGCAGGCAGGUCCCGGGGCGCAGGGCCCUGGGUGGCUGCUGGAAGGAGGGCUGCACGUCCUGGGCCUGGCCGGUCUCUGGUCAGAUCCUGGAGGCGUGAGGUCUGGGCAGCUGGUCCCGCGGCUGAGCGCAGGUGGCCUCAGGGAGCAGGGCUGGGGUGACCCUGUCCACGUGGCUGACCAGGCGCCCACGGCCCUUCCUGAGGGGAGCCGGGGCAGGGGGUGGGCACCACAGUGGGGGUCACAGGGGGUCCAGGUGGGGUCGCACCUCCACGUGGGGCUGCCAGGAAACCUGGGGCCUCCUGUGUCCCCGAGGGUGGGCGGGACACGGGCUGGGCGCAGGGCUGGGGACGAGGCCCAGCCACAGGCAUCAAGUGGGACACGGACUGGGGCGGAGCCAGGGCCAGGAGUGCUGUCCGGGGCUGUGGUGGUCAGCCCUGUCCAGCUGGCCCCUGGGGACCUGGAAGGAGGCAGUGCCUGGGCUCUGGGGUCAGUGUGGCCUCUGCCUGUGGCCUUCAGUGGGGGUUGAUGACUCCGAGUAAAGGACAGGAGACUAAAGUGGGUCCUCUUUGCUGCGAGGUCAGGUCAGGAGCUCCUGACUGGUGUGUCAUCUGGGUGUCACAGGUGCCAUGAGGUCGAGAGGGGCGCAGGCCGGGUCAUGAGGUCCAGCGGACUGAGUGUACGCUGUGCUGGCCGGGUGGACAGGCCUUGGUCCUGUUGUCACCUGGGGCCAGGUGUCCUCAGGCCGCAGGCUCAGGAGGGGUCACGGGGGGCCCAGCAUGGAUGGCCAGCGGGCGGCUCUUCACCAGCUGCCUCGCCCUCCACAGAUCGUGGUCAGUGUCCCCCAGAGGAUCGUGGCCCGGCGUGUCCACACAGCCCAGGCCAGCUUCCAGGAGGCCACAGCCUCCAGAGUGACCAUCACCGUGGGAGACAGAAGCUCUAACCUGAGAGGUCCAUGCCGUGGGGAGGUGGAUCCCAGUGUCCCUGAACCCAGAGGCCACCCAGAGCCUAGGACCCCACGGCUGGGCAGGUGCUCUGCCUCCAAGCUGCGCCUGGCCAGCUGUUCCCACCCAGGGGACACUCUGCUCCUGGCCGACACCUUCGCCUCCCUGGGGCCCACCUGUCCCUUGCCUUGGGUGGCCGGGUGUGGUGGCCGCUGGCCAGGCCUCCUGACUCCGCCCGUCUGCAGGCGAGUGCUCCGCUGCCCAGGGGGCGGCCAUCCCGGCUCUGGGGCCCGAGGCCCUCCUCAGCUGCCAUCUUCGGUUCCAGCAAGACGUCUUCGACCUCCCAGUGACAGACGUGUUCUCGGCCGAGCCGGACUUCGACGUCACACUGGGUGAGCCAGGGCUGAGGGGCUCUGCCCACCGCCUUGGGCUGCCCAGUGGUCAUGGCCUGGCUCACCACUGUCCAGCCUGGCCCAGGGCCCUCCUGGGAGUCCGUCCUGUGUGGUGCCACCAGGGCCAGGCCUCUGUCGCUUCUGGGCCCACAGGAGGCUGGCCUUCAGCCACCGCCGCACCCGCAGGACGGUGCAGGGUCAGGAGAGUCAGGGACAGGGUGGGGUGUCAGCGCAGGUAGGGGACAGGGACAAGCAGGACACCCCUGUCUCCGCAGGCCAGUACCUCUGCUCGGUCACCAUGCACAGGCUGACCGACGGGCAGCUGAGGCACUUGAGCUCGAGGAGGACACCCCUGGUGGUCACAGCCUCGGUGGCCGGGGGCCAGACGUCUGUGGAGCAGGUGGGGGCCGAGGUGCCCUUCAGCCCUGGGCUCUACGCUGACCAGACUGAGAUCCUCCUGAGCAACCACCUGUCCAGCCGCGAGGUCAAGGUCUUUGGGGCCGCGGAGAUCCUGGACAGCUUGGAGGUGAGCGGAGGGGUCGGGGCGGACGCAGGGACCACAGUCGGACUUCACGUUGACUACCCGGGUGGUGACCGUCCCCAGCCCUUUUUAUAUUUUAUUUACAGACAGGG
rnacentral:lncRNA from 1 species